AGCGAACGCUGGCGGCAGGCCUAAAACAUGCAAGUCGAACGCCCUAGCAAUAGGGAGUGGCAGACGGGUGAGUAACACGUGGGAACGUGCCUUUUGGUUCGGAACAACACAGGGAAACUUGUGCUAAUACCGGAUAAGCCCUUACGGGGAAAGAUUUAUCGCCAAAAGAUCGGCCCGCGUCUGAUUAGCUAGUUGGUGGGGUAACGGCCCACCAAGGCUACGAUCAGUAGCUGGUCUGAGAGGAUGAUCAGCCACACUGGGACUGAGACACGGCCCAGACUCCUACGGGAGGCAGCAGUUAGGAAUCUUGGACAAUGGGCGCAAGCCUGAUCCAGCCAUGCCGCGUGAGUGAUGAAGGCCUUAGGGUUGUAAAGCUCUUUCAGCGGGGAAGAUAAUGACGGUACCCGCAGAAGAAGCCCCGGCUAACUUCGUGCCAGCAGCCGCAGUAACAC
rnacentral:rRNA from 1 species